rnacentral:rRNA from 1 species
AUACGUAGGGGGCGAGCGUUGUCCGGAAUGAUUGGGCGUAAAGGGCGCGUAGGCGGCCUGUUAAGUCUGGGGUGAAAGUCCUGUUUUCAAGAUGGGAAUUGCUUUGGAUACUGAUGGGCUUGAGUGCAGGAGAGGUUAUCGGAAUUCCCGGUGUAGCGGUGAAAUGCGUAGAGAUCGGGAGGAACACCAGUGGCGAAGGCGGGAACUGGACUGCAACUGACGCUGAGGCGCGAAAGUGUGGGGAGCAAACAGGAUUAGAUACCCUGGUAGUCCACACUGUAAACGAUGAAUGCUAGGUGUAAGAGGUAUCGACCCCUUUUGUGCCGGAGUUAACACAAUAAGCAUUCCGCCUGGGGAGUACGGCCGCAAGGUUGAAACUCAAAGGAAUUGACGGGG